rnacentral:lncRNA from 1 species
GGCACAGGUCAGUACUUCUGUUUUUCCAUGGAAAUCACAUUCUAAAUAUCAAAAGGAAUGUGAGGACAACAAAAAGACAAAUUAAUUUGCUCUGCUGAAGGGUGGAUUUUUGUAAUGAAAUGAGCAGGGUGUUAUAAAGCAGAAAUGAUCUGAUGAUGCACAGCAAUGAUUUAUCUGCUCAGCAGAGAUUACAAACAAAAAAGACCCCUGGCUUUGCUGCUGUUGCUGGCCAGUGCCAGGAUAAACGAUGAUGAACAUUCCCAUUGACAUGUGGAAAAAAACACUUGUUUAAAGAGAAGGAUUUGCAGAGCAGGCUUCUUGCCUCCCCUCUGUUGAACUUUCCUGCUGGUGGCUCUGAAUGCAAAGAAGCUAUGAAGACUUCACCUCCGUGUUGUGCUACCUCCUGUGUCAUUUGCAAGCAAUGAGGACAGACACGUGGUUCAGACAUGGAACCAAGUUCAAGUGCAAAAGCUCAGCACUGCAUGCUGAGGGCUCUCUCACAGCCCCAACACCCCAGGUUCUGCCUCUCCGGUGUUGCUGUUGUCCCUUUCGUGGGUGAUGUUUACUGCCUCUCAGGAGUGAGAGAAGCACCAUCUCUGGAGCAGAUAUCUCUGAAGGAAACAGGAGCUGCUGUUCUGUGGCAUUCAUCCUGUAAAUCCAGAUACAUUUUUUCUUUGUACUUUUUCAAGAUCGUAUUUACAAAACAUUUGAAGAACAGGCGCAAUGACAGUUUAAUUAAUGUGUGUCAUUAAGCCUGGAGAUAAUCGAAACUCUGGUAAGUCUUUAAUCUUGUAGAAAAGAAUCAGAGUGCGCUGAAACAUCUCCUGCUAUCUGUGAACCUCGUAAUGCGGUGCUGCAUCCUUAAAGGAGGAGCCAUGGAAAGGAACAGCGCCAGAAGAUGUGUUCUCAGCAGAUUUCAUCACUGGACUCGAGGGAUAUUGUUCUUGGCAAGGAGGAUGUGACUGAAAUCCAAAGGGAUCAAAACGUGUUCUUCUGCUAUCAGUGUAUAAAGUGGCCCUACUAAUUUGUGGAGAUUUAGCUUCUUUGC